AACGAACGCUGGCGGCAGGCCUAACACAUGCAAGUCGAACGAGAAGCCACCUUCGGGUGGUGGACAGUGGCAGACGGGUGAGUAACGCGUGGGAACGUGCCUUUCGGUUCGGAAUAACCCAGGGAAACUUGGGCUAAUACCGGAUACGCCCUCCGGGGGAAAGAUUCAUUGCCGAAAGAUCGGCCCGCGUCGGAUUAGCUAGUUGGUGGGGUAAUGGCUCACCAAGGCGACGAUCCGUAGCUGGUCUGAGAGGAUGACCAGCCACACUGGGACUGAGACACGGCCCAGACUCCUACGGGAGGCAGCAGUGGGGAAUAUUGGACAAUGGGCGAAAGCCUGAUCCAGCCAUGCCGCGUGGGUGAAGAAGGCCUUAGGGUUGUAAACCCCUUUCAGCGGGGAAGAUAAUGACGGUACCCGCAGAAGAAGUCCCGGCUAACUCCGUGCCAGCAGCCGCCGUAACAC
rnacentral:rRNA from 1 species